rnacentral:rRNA from 1 species
CACGUAGGGGGCGAGCGUUGUCCGGAUUUAUUGGGCGUAAAGGGCUCGUAGGCGGCUCAGUAAGUCGGGUGUGAAACCUCCAGGCUCAACCUGGAGACGCCACCUGAUACUGCUGUGGCUAGAGUCCGGUAGGGGAGCAUGGAAUUCCUGGUGUAGCGGUGAAAUGCGCAGAUAUCAGGAGGAACACCGGUGGCGAAGGCGGCAUCCUGGACCGAGAUCGACGCUGAGGCGCGAAAGCUAGGGGAGCAAACGGG